GACGAACGCUGGCGGCGUGCUUAACACAUGCAAGUCGAACGGAAAGGCCCUGCUUUUGUGGGGUGCUCGAGUGGCGAACGGGUGAGUAACACGUGAGUAACCUGCCCUUGACUUUGGGAUAACUUCAGGAAACUGGGGCUAAUACCGGAUAGGAGCUCCUGCUGCAUGGUGGGGGUUGGAAAGUUUCGGCGGUUGGGGAUGGACUCGCGGCUUAUCAGCUUGUUGGUGGGGUAGUGGCUUACCAAGGCUUUGACGGGUAGCCGGCCUGAGAGGGUGACCGGCCACAUGGGGACUGCGAGACGGACCAGACUCCAACGGGAGGCAGCAGUGGGGAAUAUUGCACAAUGGGCGGAAGCCUGAUGCAGCAACGCCGCGUGCGGGAUGACGGCCUUCGGGUUGUAAAACGCUUUCGCCUGUGACGAAGCGUGAGUGACGGUAAUGGGUAAAGAAGCACCGGCUAACUACGUG
rnacentral:rRNA from 1 species